rnacentral:rRNA from 1 species
CGUGCCAGCAGCCGCGGUAAUACGGAGGAUCCAAGCGUUAUCCGGAAUCAUUGGGUUUAAAGGGUCCGUAGGCGGUUUAGUAAGUCAGUGGUGAAAGCCCAUCGCUCAACGGUGGAACGGCCAUUGAUACUGCUAGACUUGAAUUAUUAGGAAGUAACUAGAAUAUGUAGUGUAGCGGUGAAAUGCUUAGAGAUUACAUGGAAUACCAAUUGCGAAGGCAGGUUACUACUAAUUGAUUGACGCUGAUGGACGAAAGCGUGGGUAGCGAACAGGAAUAGAUACCCUGGUAGUCCACGCCGUAAACGAUGGAUACUAGCUGUUGGGGGCAACUUC